rnacentral:rRNA from 1 species
GACGUAGGGCGCGAGCGUUGUCCGGAUUUAUUGGGCGUAAAGAGCUCGUAGGCGGCUUGUCGCGUCGACCGUGAAAACCCGCAGCUCAACUGCAGGCUUGCGGUCGAUACGGGCAGGCUAGAGUUCGGUAGGGGAGACUGGAAUUCCUGGUGUAGCGGUGAAAUGCGCAGAUAUCAGGAGGAACACCGGUGGCGAAGGCGGGUCUCUGGGCCGAUACUGACGCUGAGGAGCGAAAGCGUGGGGAGCGAACAGG